rnacentral:rRNA from 1 species
GAUUCAGCCGCCGCGGUAAUUCGUAGGGUGCGAGCGUUAAUCGGAAUUACUGGGCGUAAAGCGUGCGCAGGCGGUUAUGUAAGACAGAUGUGAAAUCCCCGGGCUCAACCUGGGAACUGCAUUUGUGACUGCAUGGCUAGAGUACGGUAGAGGGGGAUGGAAUUCCGCGUGUAGCAGUGAAAUGCGUAGAUAUGCGGAGGAACACCGAUGGCGAAGGCAAUCCCCUGGACCUGUACUGACGCUCAUGCACGAAAGCGUGGGGAGCAAACAGGAUUAGAUACCCUGGUAGUCCACGCCCUAAACGAUGUCAACUGGUUGUUGGGAAUUAGUUUUCUCAGUAACGAAGCCAACGCGUGAAGUUGACCGCCUGGGGAGUACGGCCGCA